GUAGGUGGCAAGCGUUGUCCGGAAUUAUUGGGCGUAAAGCGCGCGCAGGCGGUUCUUUAAGUCUGAUGUGAAAGCCCACGGCUCAACCGUGGAGGGUCAUUGGAAACUGGAGAACUUGAGUACAGAAGAGGAAAGCGGAAUUCCACGUGUAGCGGUGAAAUGCGUAGAGAUGUGGAGGAACACCAGUGGCGAAGGCGGCUUUCUGGUCUGUAACUGACGCUGAGGCGCGAAAGCGUGGGGAGCAAACAGGGAUUAGAUACCCUGGUAGUCCACGCCGUAAACCGAUGAGUGCUAAGUGUUAGGGGGGUUUCCGCCCCCUUAGUGCUGCAGCUAACGCAUUAAGCACUCCGCCUGGGGAGUACGGCCGCAAGGCUG
rnacentral:rRNA from 1 species